GCCCGACUAGCUCACCGGUAGAGCGCCUCACUAGUAUCAACACUCCUGACAUGAGGAGGCAACAGGUUCGACUCCUGUGUUGGGCA